AUCGGAAUUACUGGGCGUAAAGCGUGCGUAGGCGGUUAAUUAAGUCAGAUGUGAAAGCCCCGGGCUUAACCUGGGAACUGCAUUUGAUACUGGUUAACUAGAGUUUAGUAGAGGGGAGUGGAAUUUCAGGUGUAGCGGUGAAAUGCGUAGAUAUCUGAAGGAACACCAGUGGCGAAGGCGACUCCCUGGACUAAAACUGACGCUGAGGUACGAAAGCGUGGGUAGCAAACAGGAUUAGAUACCCUGGUAGUCCACGCCGUAAACGAUGUCAACUAGCCGUUGGUCCUAUUUACAGGAUUAGUGGCGCAGCUAACGCAUUAAGUUGACCGCCUGGGGAGUACGGCCGCAAGGUUAAAACUCAAAGGAAUUGACGGGGGCCCGCACAAGCGGUGGAGCAUGUGGUUUAAUUCGAUGCAACGCGAAGAACCUUACCUACCCUUGACAUCCARAGAAUC
rnacentral:rRNA from 1 species